UUAAAAUGAAUUAAAGUGUAAUUUUUAUUUAACACUCUCUCAAAUUUAACAUAUAUAAAGAAUGAUAAAAAUCAUCGGAUGGAUAGAGAUAUAUUUUAUUUUAGGUUUAUAUUAAUUUUGUUUUUAUAUAAAGAUAAAUAAUUUAGUAGACUAAGAUGAUAAGAGAGUAGAGAACACAAAAAGAGAAUAGUAAGUAACAAAACAAACCAAGUCAAAAACAAUCCAAUAUGGAAGCAGCUGCAGGCAAAAACAGAGUAGAUACAAAGUGACGAAGAAUCCGAAAGGUAAGAGCAACUGCUGGAAGUUCUGCUGAAAACGCAAAGAUUAGCUCCUAGAGACAAACAUUGGCAGCAACCAGUACGAGAACACAAGACUGCAAAUCCUAGAGUUGUAAAAUGGUAAUAGCAACAGGUGCCUCAAACCACCGUCAGAGCUCAUUGAAACUUAAGAAUGUAAUUACCCAUAAUAAUAUUCGAAAAAAUAAAUUCAUAAAACCAAUUCCAGUUUCUUAUAAUUGCUUCUACUCUUGCCCCACAAGACUUUGUUUCUAUAACAGCCUUAGUGAAUUCAUUUUAUUUUGAGAAUGGUUAAUAAAUUAUUUCAUAGA
rnacentral:misc_RNA from 1 species